AACCGCACGGGAUAAUCCUUUUAUCCCGUGCGGUUGUCUUAUAUCCCGUGCGGUUGUCUUAAGUGGACCACACGGGAUAAUCGAUUAUCCCGUGCGGCC
rnacentral:pre_miRNA from 9 species